rnacentral:rRNA from 1 species
AUGAGUAGCCAAUUAUCUAUUCUUAGCUGGAAUGUGCGCGGUCUGAACAACCAAGCGCGCAGGGCUGCAGUUCGCGCCAUGUUGGAUCAGCUUUCUUGUUCUAUAGUCUGUUUACAAGAGUCUAAACUAGCUGCUGUAGCCGAUAGUGAUAUUCUGGAGAUUACUGGUAGUGCUUUUGAUUGUCACUCCUAUCUGGCCGCUGAUGGUACGCGCGGAGGUAUACUCCUCUACUGGCGCUCUAGCUGCUUUUCUACGACUGCGAUCACGGUGCGCACCUUUUCUAUCACGGCUGUGUUCACUCCGGUGGGGCAGAAUACGCCGUGGACUCUCACCACCAUUUACGGUCCUCAUGACUAUGAGCGUAAGAAGUCCUUCUUGAAUGAGUUAGCAGAUAUCCAUAACGCCAUGAAUGGGCCAUGGUUUGUAGUUGGUGAUUUCAACCUUAUAACUGACCCCAACGACAAGAACAACGACCGCAUUUGUCGAUGUUGGAUGAACAAGUUCCGCCACACCUUAAACAGAUCAAGCCUUCAUGAGCUGCCCUUGAUUGGUAGGAAAUACACUUGGAGCAACGAGCAGCAGACUCCGACUCUUGUCAAGCUCGACCGUGCAUUUGCCAACGUAGAUUGGGAGCUUUUGUUCCCGGCCGCCAAGCUGCUACCUCAAGCUUCCUCCAUUUCUGAUCAUUGCCCACUGCUCCUUCGCAAUGACGGAGUGCUGAAAACCAAUAGGAGGUUUAGGUUUGAGUCCUACUGGCUAUUUGUAAAUGGGUUCAAGGAUCUAGUGGCUCAGUCCUAG